rnacentral:rRNA from 1 species
GUGCCAGCAGCCGCGGUAAUACGUAGGGGUCGAGCGUUGUCCGGAGUUACUGGGCGUAAAGCGUGCGCAGGCGGCGGUCUGCGCCCGGCGUGAAAGCCCCCGGCUCAACCGGGGAGGGUCGUCGGGGACGGGACCGCUUGAGGGUCGCAGGGGCUGGUGGAAUUCCCGGUGUAGUGGUGAAAUGCGUAGAGAUCGGGAGGAACACCCGUGGCGAAGGCGGCCAGCUGGGCGACACCUGACGCUGAGGCACGAAGGCGUGGGGAGCGAACGGGAUUAGAUACCCCGGUAGUCC